AAUGAACGUUGGCGGCAUGGAUUAGGCAUGCAAGUCGCGCGCGAAACGUAGCAAUACGUGGAGAGCGGCGAAAGGGAGAGGAAUACGUGGGAACCUACCUCGGGGCCUGGAAUAGCGGCGGGAAACUGCCGGUAAUGCCUGAUAACGUCUCCGGACCAAAGGUGUGAUUCCGCCUGGAGAUGGGCCCACGUCCUAUCAGCUUGUUGGUGUGGUAAUGGCGCACCAAGGCUAAGACGGGUAUGGGGUGUGAGAGCAUGCCCCCACUCACUGGGACUGAGACACUGCCCAGACACCUACGGGUGGCUGCAGUCGAGAAUCUUCGGCAAUGAGCGCAAGCUUGACCGAGCGAUGCCGCGUGCGGGAUGAAGGCCCUCGGGUUGUAAACCGCUGUCGUAGAGGAGUAAUGGUCAGGGGGUUCUCCCUCUGAUUUGAACAAUUCUAGGAGGAAGGACGGGCUAAGUUCGUGCCAGCCGCCGCGGUAACAC
rnacentral:rRNA from 1 species